AACGAACGCUGGCGGCAGGCCUAACACAUGCAAGUCGAACGCAUCGCAAGAUGAGUGGCGCACGGGUGAGUAACACGUGGGAAUGUAUCCUUUGGUUCGGAAUAACGUCUGGAAACGGACGCUAAUACCGGAUGAGCCCUUAGGGGGAAAGAUUUAUCGCCGAAGGAGCAGCCCGCGUCUGAUUAGGUAGUUGGUGGGGUAAAGGCCUACCAAGCCGACGAUCAGUAGCUGGUCUGAGAGGAUGAUCAGCCACACUGGGACUGAGACACGGCCCAGACUCCUACGGGAGGCAGCAGUGGGGAAUAUUGGACAAUGGGCGCAAGCCUGAUCCAGCCAUGCCGCGUGAGUGAUGAAGACCUUCGGGUUGUAAAGCUCUUUCGCACACGACGAUGAUGACGGUAGUGAGAGAAGAAGCCCCGGCUAACUUCGUGCCAGCAGCCGCCGUAACAC
rnacentral:rRNA from 1 species